CAGGAAGUAGUUUAUUAAAAACCUUUACCUUGGGAGUAAACAUUCACAAUAAUCUUGUGCUACCUGA
rnacentral:tRNA from 1 species